UAGGGAAUCUUCCACAAUGGACGAAAGUCUGAUGGAGCAACGCCGCGUGAGUGAAGAAGGGUUUCGGCUCGUAAAACUCUGUUGUUAAAGAAGAACAUAUCUGAGAGUAACUGUUCAGGUAUUGACGGUAUUUAACCAGAAAGCCACGGCUAAUUACGUGCCAG
rnacentral:rRNA from 1 species